rnacentral:rRNA from 1 species
UACGGGGGGGGCAAGCGUUGUUCGGAAUUACUGGGCGUAAAGGGCUCGUAGGUGGCCAACUAAGUCGGACGUGAAAUCCCUCAGCUUAACUGGGGAACUGCGUCCGAUACUGGAUGGCUUGAGUUUGGGAGAGGGAUGCGGAAUUCCAGGUGUAGCGGUGAAAUGCGUAGAUAUCUGGAGGAACACCGGUGGCGAAGGCGGCAUUCUGGACCAACACUGACACUGAGGAGCGAAAGCCAGGGGAGCAAACGGG